GACGGGGGAGGCAAGCGGUAUCCGGAGUUAUUGGGCGUAAAGGGUACGUAGGCGGCUGGUCAAGUCUGGGGUCAAAGGCCACAGCUCAACUGUGGAAAGGCCCUGGAAACUGACCGGCUAGAGUGAGGUAGGGGUUGCGGGAAUUCCCGGUGUAGCGGUGAAAUGCGUAGAGAUCGGGAAGAACACCUGAGGCGGAAGCGCGCAACUGGGCCUCAACUGACGCUGAGGUACGAAAGCUAGGGGAGCGAAUGGG
rnacentral:rRNA from 1 species